UAGCUAAAUGCGGAAGAGAUAAGUGCUGAAAGCAUCUAAGCACGAAACUUGCCCCGAGAUGAGUUCUCCCUGAGACUAUAAGUCUCCUGAAGGAACGUUGAAGACGACGACGUUGAUAGGCCGGGUGUGUAAGCGCAGCGAUGCGUUGAGCUAACCGGUACUAAUGAACCGUGAGGCUUAACCUU
rnacentral:rRNA from 3 species